CCUUUUACAAGAAGUCUGGUACCCUGAACUGACCUGAGGCGCGUCAGCGCAGGAAAGGCGGUACCCUGACGAGCCCCGCCCCUUUCCACCCCGAGGGCGGGGCCGUAAUCUUCCCUUCAGGUGCAGAGGGCGGUGCCCGACCCUGCCCCGGGGGGCCGUUCUUAGAGGCCAGGGGCAGGUCAGAGAAACUGCCGCUGUAGGCAACGCCUUGGAACCCGCGGGCGGUGACUGCCACAGGUGCCGCGCAGGGCAGUGUCCGAGCUCUGGGCAUCAAAACUCCGGCGCUGGAAACUAAGCCUUCCGAGCUGCUCCCAGCCCUGGACACCGAGGUCCCCGGGCCAGAGAUCGGAGCCCUGGGUUCGUCCGAAGAGCGGGGCCUCGAGGCCCCCGGGUCAGACAGCGAAGUCCGGGGCCUGCCCCGGAGCAGGACGCCGAAGUCCACAGGCCAGGAGGCAAGGUCUCCGUGCCCCCUUUAGAGCAGGGCGCGGAGAUCUCUGAGCAAGAGAGCGAAGUCCCGGGUCCAUCAGCGGGGCUGGACGCAGAACGCCCCGGGCCGUCUGCAGCUGAGGGUUUUGGGAGUCUCUGGUCCGGCAACCACGACCCCGAGCCGUCUGAAGCUCGGUGGUCCCGAAGCACUGUUCUCUUCAGGAUCCCGAGACCUCGGCCCCGGAGUCAGACUCCGAAGGCCCCCUGCAGCAUUUUCUACCGCUCCCAAAUACCCCCCGCCCCCCACCAGGGCCCCGAGGAGCCGCUCAUGGAGACGCCCAUUGAACGAGAAAUACGACGCAGCUGCGAACGCGAGGAGAGCCUGCGCCGGAGCCGAGGCCUGAGCCUUCGCCGCGCAGGCCGAGAACUCGUCGAGCUGCGCGUGCGGCCAGUGCUCAGCCUGCCCGGCCCCGGCCCCGCGCUCCCGCGCGCCUUGGAGCGCGCGCGGGCGGGCGCGCAGAUGCAGCGAGACAUCGAGCGGGAGGCCCACCGUCAGGCGGCGCUAGCGAGCCCCGCAGCCCCAGAGCAGCGCGCCGGGCCGCAGCCGCAGCCGUUGGGUGAGCUCCGGCGAUUCUUUGAAGCCGCUGGGGGACGCGGCUCCUUGCCGGCGGCUGAAGGCGGCGCGGACCUGCAGGGGCUGCCGGAUCCCGGAGGCCGGCCGCGCUUGGCGGUGCAGGGUCGGUGCCCGGUGCUGGCCCGCGCCCCGCCGCGGGUCGCGCCGUCGCUGCUGGAGCAGGAGGUGCGCGAGGUGCUUGAGCGCGAGCGGGAGCUGCAGCGCCAGCGGCUCAGCGUCUACGGCACCGCCGAGUUCAAGGAGCCCGCGCCGAGCCUCACGGGGGCGCGGCCGGCCUCCUUGGCCCUGGCAGCCUCCAGCUGGUGACAGGAGGGGCAACCCCGGCUGAGUGCCCCUUCCCCCGCAGCGAGCAGCGGCGACGGAAAGCUGGCGGUGAUCUGGCCUCCCCGCAGAAAGGCAUCUGAGAGCGGCUUGGAGCAGGAGGAGCAGAAGACUUGAUGUUCCAGCAGGCUGGGACCCCCUGCCAGACGUAACAUGUACAUCAGAGGAAACUGGUAGGGCUGCCCAGGUGCUCUCAGAAUCCACUGAAGGCCUGGACGAAGGCCAGCGGGUCUGCACAGGACAAGAUGAAAUCGACCAGCCCUUCCUUGAACUUGACUUUGUGAAAUUGAGCAGUCUCUUCUAUAAAACUGUUAGUCCCCACAGGGGAACACUACCACUCUCAAACCGCCAGUGGAACUGUUCAGCCCUUCGCCGCCUAACUGCAAACGGAGCUGGUCUCUGCCUCCGGCCUUUGCAAUUAGGGGACCAGGGUCUCCACCUCGGCUAUCCUCACUCCCCAAUAAAGCCCUUUCUUUCUGGG